UCUCUCUCUCUUUGGAAAACUUAGCAAGGCACAGCUCUAUCACAGGAAAGAGAAAACAAAAGUGAAGAAUUCAAUUCCUUCCCAAUCAUCAAUGACAACGAAGAAGAACAAGAAGAAAAGAUUUGCUUAACCACAAACUUUGGAGAGGUGGAGGAAAUAGGAGAGAGAAACCAUCUUUGGGGUGGGAGUAAGAGCAAAACAAGAGAGAUGACAUGGCAUAACGACUCUGAAGACGAAAGAGCCAUCUAAAUAGUCUCGCCUUCUGCUCAACAAAAUGGUGUUAUCGAUGAAGAAGAAGCCGGUGAAGUUCGCUUCAUAAGAUGUCCUUCAUGUGGCCAUAAUAUAGAAUUGCAAAAUCGGGCGGGAAUUCAAGAUUUGCCGGGGUGAAGUUUGAUCCAUCUGAUCAAGAAAUUCUUGAACAUUUAGAAGCAAAAGUGUCAUCAAAUGCCCAUAAAAUUCAUCCUCUAAUUGAUGAAUUUAUUCCUACAACUGACGGGGAAAAUGGAAUUUGCCACACACACCCAGAAAAGUUGCCAGGUAAUUAAUCUUCUUUU